rnacentral:rRNA from 1 species
AACGAACGCUGGCGGCAGGCUUAACACAUGCAAGUCGAGCGCCCCGCAAGGGGAGCGGCAGACGGGUGAGUAACGCGUGGGAAUCUACCGUGCCCUGCGGAAUAGCUCCGGGAAACUGGAAUUAAUACCGCAUCCGCCCUUCGGGGGAAAGAUUUAUCGGGGUAUGAUGAGCCCGCGUUGGAUUAGCUAGUUGGUGGGGUAAAGGCCUACCAAGGCGACGAUCCAUAGCUGGUCUGAGAGGAUGAUCAGCCACAUUGGGACUGAGACACGGCCCAAACUCCUACGGGAGGCAGCAGUGGGGAAUAUUGGACAAUGGGCGCAAGCCUGAUCCAGCCAUGCCGCGUGAGUGAUGAAGGCCCUAGGGUUGUAAAGCUCUUUCACUGGUGAAGAUAAUGACGGUAACCGGAGAAGAAGCCCCGGCUAACUUCGUGCCAGCCGCCGCGGUAACAC